rnacentral:tRNA from 1 species
GCUGGGUGGCUGAGUGGUAAGGCGGAGGUCAGCAAAACCUUUUACGACGGUUCGAGCCCGUCCCUAUGCU